UGGGGAAUAUUGCGCAAUGGGCGAAAGCCUGACGCAGCGACGCCGCGUGAGGGAUGAAGGUUUUCGGAUCGUAAACCUCUGUCAGAAGGGAAGAAACCGCACUGUGCUAAUCAGCAGUGCCUUGACGGUACCUUCAAAGGAAGCACCGGCUAACUCCGUGCCAGCAGCCGCGGUAAUACGGAGGGUGCAAGCGUUAAUCGGAAUUACUGGGCGUAAAGCGCACGUAGGCUGCUUUGUAAGUCAGGGGUGAAAUCCCACGGCUCAACCGUGGAACUGCCUUUGAUACUGCUUAGCUUGAAUCCGGGAGAGGGUGGCGGAAUUCCAGGUGUAGGAGUGAAAUCCGUAGAUAUCUGGAGGAACAUCAGUGGUGAAGGCGGCCACCUGGACCGGUAUUGACGCUGAGGUGCGAAAGCGUGGGGAGCAAACAGG
rnacentral:rRNA from 1 species